rnacentral:ncRNA from 2 species
CCUCUGGAAAGAGGGGACGCACGUCCCCCGCCGAAGGUGAAAGCGUCCCGGGCCGUGGGGCGUGAAUCUCUCAGGCGCCGAGACAGAGG